rnacentral:rRNA from 1 species
AACGAACGCUGGCGGCGUGCCUAACACAUGCAAGUCGAGCGGGAAAGUCCGCAAGGAUGAGUACGGCGGCGCACGGGUGCGUAACACGUGGGUAAUCUGCCCUGAAGCUCGGGAUAACUCGCCGAAAGGCGUGCUAAUACCGGAUAAGACCACGGGAACCUCGGUUCCUGCGGGAAAAGGUGGCCUCUGUAUACAAGCUAUCACUUCAGGAUGAGCCCGCGGCCCAUCAGCUCGUUGGCGGGGUAACGGCCCACCAAGGCUACGACGGGUAGCUGGUCUGAGGGGACGAUCAGACACACUGGAACUGAGACACGGUCCAGACUCCUACGGGAGGCAGCAGUGGGGAAUCUUGCGCAAUGGGCGAAAGCCUGACGCAGCAACGCCGCGUGGGGGAAGAAGGCCUUAGGGUUGUAAACCUCUUUCAGGUGGGACGAAGCCACUCGGGUGAAUAGCCCAGAGGGUGACGGUACCUCCAGAAGAAGCCCCGGCUAACUACGUGCCAGCCGCCGCAGUAAUAC